UUUUGCAUAAUGAGCCUACGAGUUGUUGUUGUUGGCAAGGUUAAUCUGCUGUAGCAGAGCAACCGGAGCGAAAGCGAGUCUUAACAGGGCGCUUAGUCAGCAGUAGCAGACGCGAAACUUGGUGAUCUACCCAUGACCAGGAUGAAGUCUAGGUAACACUAGAUGGAGGUCCGAACCAGUUGACGUUGAAAAGUCUUUGGAUGAGUUGUGGGUAGGGGUGAAAGGCCAAUCAAACUUGAAGAUAGCUGGUUUUCUACGAAAUCUAUGUAAGUAGAGCGUUAUUUUAUUUAUUUAUUAAUGGUAGAGCAAUAACUAGAUUGUUAGAUUUAACAAAACUACGAAUAUUAAUAAAUUAAAAAUAACAGACAGACAUUAGGUGCGAAGAUCUAAAGUCAAAAGGGAAACAGCCCAGAUUAUUAGCUAAGAUCCCAAAGUUAUAGCCUAGUGAGUAAGGUCAAAAUAUUUAAUUAUUAUAAAUUUAUAAUAAGUAUAAUUAGGAGGUAAUCUUAUGAGCAGUUAUCCUUUAAAGAAAGCGUAAAAGCUCACUAUUUAUAUUGAAUAUUUUUACCUAUAAUUUAUAGGGACUAGCAGCUAUACAUCGAAGCUAUAAAUUAAUAAAAUUUUUAUUAAUGGUAGUAGAACGUUUUGUAUUUUGUUGAAGUUAUAUUGUAAAAUAUAAUGAAGAAAUCAAAAUUGAGAAUGCUGACAUGAGUAACGAAAAUAAUGUUUAUAAACAUUAUCACCGAAAGCCUAAGGGUUUCUACGGUAUGUUAAACAGCGUAGAUUUAGUCGGCCCCUAAGAUUAUAGUGAAAACUUAAAUUAAUGGGUAUUUUGUAAUUAAUAAUUACAAACUAUGAAUUAGUGACGUCAAUUUUAAAAUAUAUAUUAUGAUUUUUAAUUUUAUUAAUAUUUGUUAUUAAUAUGCUUAAUAUAUUUAUAAAAUUUGGCCUAGAAAAAACUAUUCGUAAUUUUUAUGUUUAUAAAAAUAAAAACCGUACUAAAACCGACACAGGUAGGCUGGUAGAGUAUACUAAGGUGAUUGAGAAAAUAAUACUGAAGGAAUUCGGCAAAAUAGCUCCGUAACUUCGGGAGAAGGAGUGCCUUAAUUAAGUAUAUAAAAAUAUACUUUAAGGUGUAAUAUAAUAGAGAAGAGCGACUGUUUAAUAAAAACACAGGACUCUGCUAAGUUGUAAAACGACGUAUAGAGUCUGAGACCUGCCCAGUGCUGUUUGGUUAAACAUUUAAGGUUUUUUUUAAGUAAAAGCUAAAAAUUAGAGCCUCGGUAAACGGCAGCUGUAAAUAUAACGGUUCUAAGGUAGCGAAAUUCAUUGUCGAGUAAGUUUUGACCUGCAUGAAUGGUUCAACGACUCUUCUACUGUCUCCAGUAUUAACUCAGUGAAAUUGAAAUUUCCGUGAAGAUGCGGAAUUUUAUCGGCGGGACGGAAAGACCCCAUGCACCUUUACUAUAGUUAUGUAUGGUUGGAGGGUAUUAAAUAUGUAGUAUAAAUGUUAGUCUAUGACAUCGUAACGCCAGUUACCUAUCGAGACGCCAGUGAAAUAGCAUUUUUUUAAUACUUAAAAACUAAUUUUAUAAAAAUAAAUAAGAGACAAUGCAUGAUUGGUAGUUUAACUGGGAAGGUUGCCUCCUAAAUAGUAACGGAGGCGUACAAAAGAUAAGUUUAAAUCUAAUUUUUAUUAGAUUGAAAGUAUAAUGGCAAUAAACUUAUUUGACUGUGAGACAAACAAGUCAAACAGAAAUCUGUUUUUUACAGGUUGGUCAUAGUGAUCCAGUGACUCUUUGUGGAAAGGUUGCUGCUCAACGGAUAAAAGGUACGCUGGGGAUAACAGGCUAAUAAUCCUUGAGAGUUCUUAUCGACGGGAUUGUUUGGCACCUCGAUGUCGGAUCAUCACAUCCUGGAGCUGAAGCAGGUUCCAAGGGUUAGGCUGUUCGCCUAUUAAAGUGGUACGUGAUCUGGGUUUAGAACGUCGUGAGACA
rnacentral:rRNA from 1 species